rnacentral:rRNA from 1 species
UGAGUACGAGAUGCUACGGCAUCGAAGCAGUCUAUGUCAUACUUCCAAGAAAAGCUUGCAAUGUCAUAAACAAAUAAUGCCUGUACCAUAACCGACACAGGUGGGUAGGUAGAGUAUACUAAGGGGCGCGAGAUAACUCUCUCUAAGGAACUCGGCAAAAUGACUCCGUAACUUCGGGAGAAGGAGUGCCUUAUUUUUAUAAGGUUGCAAUAACAAGAUCCAAGCAACUGUUUACCAAAAACACAGGUCUCCGCUAAGUCGUAAGACGAUGUAUGGGGGCUGACGCCUGCCCAGUGCCAGAAGGUUAAAGAAGUUGGUUAGCAUUAGCGAAGCUGAUAACUGAAGCCCUGGUGAACGGCGGCCGUAACAAUAACGGUCCUAAGGUAGCGAAAUUCCUUGUCGGGUAAGUUCCGACCCGCACGAAAGGCGUAAUGAUUUGGAUACUGUCUCGGAGAGGGGCUCGGUGAAAUAGACUUGUCUGUGAAGAUGCGGACUACCUGCACCUGGACAGAAAGACCCUAUGAAGCUUUACUGUAACUUGAGAUUGAAAUUGGACUUUAUCUGCGCAGUAUAGGUGGGAGACGUUGAAAAUAUUCUUGCGGGAAUAUUGGAGUCAUCAGUGAGAUACCACUCUUAUAAUGUUAGAUUUCUAACUUUGUAUCAUUAUCUGGUCAAAGAACAGUUUCAGGCGGGCAGUUUGACUGGGGCGGUCGCCUCCCAAACGGUAACGGAGGCGCACAAAGGUUUCCUCUGAACGUGUAGAAAUCGUAUCUAGAGUGUGAAGGCAUAAGGAAGCUUGACUGUGAGACCUACAAGUCGAGCAGGGACGAAAGUCGGUCUUAGUGAUCUGACGGUGCUGAGUGGAAAGGCCGUCACUCAACGGAUAAAAGUUACUCUAAGGAUAACAGGCUGAUCUCCCCCAAGAGUUCACAUCGACGGGGAGGUUUGGCACCUCGAUGUCGGCUCAUCGCAUCCUGGGGCGGUAGUACGUCCCAAGGGUUGGGCUGUUCGCCCAUGAAAGCGGUACGCGAGCUGGGUUCAGAACGUCGUGAGACAGUUCGGUCCAUAUCCGGUGUAGGCGUUAGAAUAUUGAGAGGAGCCUUCUUUAGUACGAGAGGACCGAGAAGGACAUACCUCUGGUGUACCAGUUAUCGUGCCAACGGUAAACGCUGGGUAGCCAUGUAUGGAGAGGAUAACCGCUGAAAGCAUCUAAGUGGGAAGCCCACCUCAAGAUAAGUAUUCU